rnacentral:rRNA from 1 species
AACGAACGCUGGCGGCGUGCCUAACACAUGCAAGUCGAACGCGAAAGGGGGCAACCCCCGGUAGCGUGGCAGACGGGUGAGUAACACGUGGGUAACCUACCCGGAGGUGGGGGAUAACCCUUCGAAAGGAGGGCUAAUACCGCAUAAUACCGUGGGGACCUCGGUCCUUGCGAUCAAAGCUGGCCUCUGCUUACAAGCUAGCGCCACCGGAUGGGCCCGCGCCCCAUUAGCUAGUUGGUGAGGUAACGGCUCACCAAGGCGACGAUGGGUAGCCGGCCUGAGAGGGCGACCGGCCACACUGGAACUGAGACACGGUCCAGACUCCUACGGGAGGCAGCAGUGGGGAAUUUUGCGCAAUGGGCGAAAGCCUGACGCAGUGACGCCGUGUGGACGAUGAAGGCCUUCGGGUCGUAAAGUCCUGUCAAGUGGGAAGAAGUGUGUGGUAGUUAAUACCUGCCAUGCUUGACGGUACCACUAGAGGAAGCCCCGGCCAACUCCGUGCCAGCAGCCGCGGUAAUACGGGGGGGGCGAGCGUUGUUCGGAAUUAUUGGGCGUAAAGGGCACGUAGGCGGUCAAGCAAGUCAGGUGUGAAAGCCCUCGGCUCAACCGAGGAACUGCACCUGAAACUGCUAGACUAGAGUUCGGGAGAGGAGAGUGGAAUUCCCAGUGUAGCGGUGAAAUGCGUAGAUAUUGGGAGGAACACCGGUGGCGAAGGCGGCUCACUGGACCGGAACUGACGCUGAGGCGCGAAAGCGUGGGGAGCAAACGGGAUUAGAUACCCCGGUAGUCCACGCCGUAAACGAUGAGUGCUUGGUGUAGCGGG